CUGCUGCAGGACAGGUUGGCUACUGGCUGAUCUUUGGAACUAGAAACAUCAUUUUGCUCCUUAAAUGAUUAAAAAAGGCACACAUGGGGCUUCUUUGUGUUAGUUCUUUUGUAUCUCCAUAUCCUGUCCCUGCAUGGAUUAUUUUGGUGCAUGCUGCAGACUUGUUUUUGGAACUUGAAUCCUGAGCAAGUGAGAAGACUUACUGGAUGCUGUUCAAGGCUCUGCAUGACAAACCUUGCACAAAUACAAGGUAUGAUUGCCACUGACAGGGAGGAUCAUGAGCUAGCUGGGAUGUAGGGAAAGAUCAGGUGGCAAAGGUGUUUCAGGUGCAGGUGUAUCUUGCCCAGGGUGCCCACCUCAGCAAGUGAUAACAAAGGCUAGAGUUACAGUGCUAGGCCCUGGACUUAGACUGGGGAGACAAGGACAGGAUGAUCACAACAGACAUUCCUGUUUAAAAAGGGGAGGAAAAAGAGAGACAUAAUAGUCACUGGUCCAUAGUAAUUCUGAAAUCUCACAAUAAAGAAAAAGAGAUGGGGAGAGAGAAAGUCUCAUUUCUUUAAACAGGAGGGUGGUGAAUAUGUAUAGAAAAGGGGAAAAAUGAUUACAUUUUAUCUUCCUGAAUCUUCUGGGCAGACCCAACUUGCCAGCUAAGGUGAUGUCAUCGUUGUGGCAUCACAACACUUCUAACAGUGUCCCAAUCUGGCAGGAGCUGUCAUUGAAAGCAAUCACUGGGGUUUGGCAAAGUGAGGUAGGUGGGGGCUCUACCCUCAGCAGUGACCAGCAGGUUGAAAAUGGUUUGACCCAGGCAUUCCUAGGAAAACCGGUAAAAUAAAAUUAAAUGUGCAUGUUUUGGUUCUGUGUGGUACAUGGAUGUCAAUAAAGUGAUUAUUUCAUACCAUA
rnacentral:lncRNA from 1 species